ACUGCACCAGAAAUGUUUAUCAAAACCCAGGUUAAUUGCCAAAAUAGUGAGACUGCAAACUGAAAAUCCUGAUCAUCCCUAACAGAGCUAACAUAUGAUACCCAUGUUCAACAUAAAUAUAAUGAAAUGUCAGCCGAAGAGAACUGCAAUAUUCCUACAGAAUAUGGUUCCAUCAACAUUUUCUUCAACCGACUGUAGCUUUGGGACCUACUACUCAUGUGCUGUGGUGGAUGUGAUCAAGCCAGUUCAUGUGCUGAGACAGUCUUUCCAACAUCUGUGGGGUUAAUUUUGCAUCAAAGUCAGAAGGGAAUUGCUGUCAUUUCCAGUACAGGGCAGGAAGGAAAAAGCCAGAACAGAGCUGCUGUUAAUUCAGUGAAGAAACAUUGCUGGAAUACACAAAAUGGACAGGGCGCAGAAUCUGGCUGCAGAGGACAUUGAGUUAUUUGAGUGGAAGGUACUGGACGUGAGAGAGACUUAAGGCUGCAUUUGUCAUUCUUUUUAAAUCAUUAUGCCUAAAUUAAGCAAACCCACUUAACGUACAGAUUGUAACUUCUGGGGGAAUUCUGCGCACAAGAUUUUA